rnacentral:lncRNA from 1 species
GCGGCUGUGAAAACCCCACGUAUAUCUGAGACAGUCCCCUCCUCUGCGCUCACUCUUUGCGUCCUCUACGAAGCGAUACCAUGUUGGCCAGGCUUUUGACUUGCUUGGUACUCCUGAGCGUGAUUCUUGCUAUGUCUUAUUCAGUUCGCGCCAUCAACUCUGACGAUGUCAUAGAUUGCAGACUUAAAUGUUACAAGAAACUUAGAGAUGGAACAUGUGAGCUUGACUGGCUGUGUUUUCUCACGGAAUGAAUGGCCGGCGACUGGCACUUGUUUCCUUGCGCAUUUGCCACGUCGAAGGGAACAAAUAGACUACCGAGGAGUAUUGUAUAAUGAAGAUAAUAAACUUUUCACCUUGUGAUCU